rnacentral:tRNA from 1 species
GGAGAGGUGACCGAGCUGGCCGAAGGUGCACGACUGGAAAUCGUGUGUACGGCAACGUACCGAGGGUUCGAAUCCCUCCCUCUCCGCCA